GCCACCGUAGCUCAGAGGUAGAGCACUCGAUUCGUAAUCGAGCGGUCGUCGGUUCAAUUCCGACCGGUGGCU
rnacentral:tRNA from 2 species